UACGAAGGGGGCUAGCGUUGCUCGGAAUUACUGGGCGUAAAGGGCGCGUAGGCGGAUCGUUAAGUCAGAGGUGAAAUCCCAGGGCUCAACCCUGGAACUGCCUUUGAUACUGGCGAUCUUGAGUAUGAGAGAGGUAUGUGGAACUCCGAGUGUAGAGGUGAAAUUCGUAGAUAUUCGGAAGAACACCAGUGGCGAAGGCGGCUCACUGGCCCGGUACUGACGCUGAGGUGCGAAAGCGUGGGGAGCAAACAGG
rnacentral:rRNA from 1 species